UACGUAGGGUGCAAGCGUUAAUCGGAAUUACUGGGCGUAAAGCGUGCGCAGGCGGUGAUGUAAGACAGGUGUGAAAAUCCCCGGGCUUAACCUGGGAACUGCAUUUGUGACUGCAUCGCUGGAGUGCGGCAGAGGGGGGGAUGGAAAUUCCGCGUGUAGCAGUGAAAAUGCGUAGAUAUCGGGAGGAACACCAGCGGCGAAGGCGGGCAUCUGGGCUAACACUGACGUGAGGCGCGAAAAGCUAGGGGGGAGCAAAAACAG
rnacentral:rRNA from 1 species